GCGCGAGUGGCGGAAUUGGCAGACGCGCUAGAUUUAGGUUCUAGUGUCUAUGACGUGCGGGUUCAAGUCCCGCCUCGCGCACAA
rnacentral:tRNA from 1 species